rnacentral:rRNA from 1 species
UGGGGAAUCUUGCGCAAUGGGCGAAAGCCUGACGCAGCCAUGCCGCGUGGAUGAUGAAGGUCUUAGGAUUGUAAAAUCCUUUCACCGGUGAAGAUAAUGACUGUAGCCGGAGAAGAAGCCCCGGCUAACUUCGUGCCAGCAGCCGCGGUAAUACGAAGGGGGCUAGCGUUGCUCGGAAUUACUGGGCGUAAAGGGAGCGUAGGCGGACAUUUAAGUCAGGGGUGAAAUCCCAGAGCUCAACUCUGGAACUGCCUUUGAUACUGGGUGUCUUGAGUGUGAUAGAGGUAUGUGGAACUCCGAGUGUAGAGGUGAAAUUCGUAGAUAUUCGGAAGAACACCAGUGGCGAAGGCGACAUACUGGAUCAUUACUGACGCUGAGGCUCGAAAGCGUGGGGAGCAAACAGGAUUAGAUACCCGAGUAGUCCCUGAGCGGGCUGGCAAGGCGCAU